AUUGAACGCUGGCGGCAGGCCUAACACAUGCAAGUCGAGCGAGCGGCGGACGGGUGAGUAAUGUAUGGGGAUCUGCCUGAUGGCGGGGGAUAACUACUGGAAACGGUAGCUACUACCGCAUACCAUCAGAUGAACCCAUAUGGGAUUAGCUAGUAGGGGAGGUAACGGCUUACCUAGGCGACGAUCCCUAGCUGGUCUGAGAGGAUGAUCAGCCACAGUGGGAUUGAGAAACGGCCCAGACUCCAACGGGAGGCAGCAGGGGGGAAUAUUGAACAUGGGGCGCAAGCCUGAUGCAGCCAUGCCGCGUGUAUGAAGAAGGCCUUCGGGUUGUAAAGUAAUUUCAGUCGGGAGGCGUUACCGACAGAAGAAGCACCGGCUAACUCCGUGCCAGCAGCCGCGGUAUAC
rnacentral:rRNA from 1 species